rnacentral:snoRNA from 1 species
UAUUGAUGAUGUGGACAGUCCCAAAGAAGAGCUUUGAACCUCUCCUAAACAUGAUAUAAGUUCUCAUCUAUCUUCUGUUUGAAGCUCACAAUCUCACUGGGCAGUCU